UACAGUCAUACCAUGUUGAAAUACUAGUUCCUAUACGAACACCAAAGUUAAGCAACAUCAAGCCUGGUCACUACCUAGAUGGAUGACCGCUUGGGAAUACCAGGUACUGUAAG